GCCGGGCGCGGUGGCUCACGCCUGUAAUCCCAGCACUUUGGGAGGCCGAGGCGGGUGGAUUGCUUGAGGUCAGGAGUUCAAGACCAGCCUGACCAACAUGGUGAAACCCCGUCUCUU
rnacentral:SRP_RNA from 1 species